UAUGUGAUCGUCUCUCGCAUAUCAAUAAGCGGAGGAAAAGGAAACUAACAAGGAUUCCCCUAGUAACGGCGAGUGAAGCGGGAAGAGCUCAAAUUUGAAAUCUUAAAGGGUUUCCCUUUACGAAUUGUAGUUUAAAGAAGUGUUUUCUGUUGAGGUUUUGGUAAAAGUUCUUUGGAAUAGGACAUCAUAGAGGGUGAGAAUCCCGUAUUUGACCUUUACUUUCAACUUUGUGAUACACUUUCAAAGAGUCGGAUUGUUUGGGAAUGCAGUCCAAAAUGGGUGGUAAAUUUCAUCUAAAGCUAAAUAUUGGCGAGAGACCGAUAGCGAACAAGUACCGUGAGGGAAAGAUGAAAAGAACUUUGAAAAGAGAGUUAAACAGUACGUGAAAUUGUCAAAAGGGAAGCGUUUGACACCAGUGUUGUUUUUCUGAAAAUCAAUUAAAGAACUGUUUAUGCUAAGUUGUUUAGACUUUAUCAGCUAAUCUGUUUAGUUUUGAGCUUUUCUUUAAUGCACUUUUCAGUUAACAAGUCAACAUCAAUUUCUUUUGCUGUAAAAAAGCUUGAGGAAGGUGGCUUGAGAUUCGUCUUAAGUGUUUAUAGCCUCUUGCCUAUGCAGUCGGAGAGAUUGAGGUCUGCAGCGUAGAUCCUUCGGGGCUAAAUGCAUUUGUGCUAAGUUAUAGCAUUUUAUAGACAGCUUGUUGACUAUGAUUUGUCUUGUAGGCUUACUCGCUUAUGUUAUUUUACCUACGCUUAGGAUGUUGAGUAGCGACAUACGCAC
rnacentral:rRNA from 1 species